AACCAACAGGGAUUGCCCUAGUAACGGCGAGUGAAGCGGCAACAGCUCAAAUUUGAAAUCUGGCCCUUGGGUCCGAAUUGUAAUUUGUAGAGGAUGAUUUUGGUGCGGUACCUUCCGAGUUCCUUGGAACAGGACGCCUUAGAGGGUGAGAGCCCCGUACGGUUGGAUACCUAGCCUCUGUAAAUCUCCUUCGACGAGUCGAGUAGUUUGGGAAUGCUGCUCUAAAUGGGAGGUAAAUUUCUUCUAAAGCUAAAUACUGGCCAGAGACCGAUAGCGCACAAGUAGAGUGAUCGAAAGAUGAAAAGCACUUUGAAAAGAGGGUUAAAUAGCACGUGAAAUUGUUGAAAGGGAAGGAUUUAUGACCAGACUUUUUCUGGGCAGAUCAUCCGGUGUUCUCACCGGUGCACUUUGCCCAGUUUAGGCCAGCAUCGAUUUCCGGAGGGGGAUAAAAGCUUUAGGAAUGUGGCUCCCUCGGGAGUGUUAUAGCCUAUUGUAUAAUACCUUUCUGGGGAUCGAGGUACGCGCUUCUGCAAG
rnacentral:rRNA from 1 species